AAUGAACGCUGGCGGCGUGCUUUACACAUGCAAGUCGAGCGAGGCCUGGGGGCAACCCCGGAGUCGAGCGGCGAACGGGUGGAGUAACGCGUGGAUGACCUGCCCUUUAGUGGGGAACAACCAGGGGGAAACUCUGGCUAAUACCGCAUACGACCGGAAGGUGAAAGGGGCUCGCAAGGGCUCUCGCUGAAGGAGGGUCCGCGUCCGAUUAGCUAGUUGGUAGGGUAAUGGCCUACCAAGGCGACGAUCGGUAGCCGGCCUGAGAGGGUGAUCGGCCACACUGGAACUGAGACACGGUCCAGACUCCUACGGGAGGCAGCAGUGGGGAAUUUUGCGCAAUGGGCUAACGCCUGACGCAGCAACGCCGCGUGGAGGAUGAAGGUCUUUGGAUUGUAAAACUCCUGUCAGCGGGGGAAAAAAGGGGCACCCCGACCUCAUACGUCGGGAACUUGAUUGUACCCCGCAGAGGAAGCCCCCGGCUAACUCUGUGCCAGCAGCCGCGGUAAUACAGAGGGGGCAAGCGUUAUUCGGAAUUAUUGGGCGUAAAGGGCGCGUAGGCGGCUUUUCAAGUGGCGGGUGAAAUCCCUCGGCUUAACCGAGGAACUGCCUGCCAGACUGGAAGGCUCGAGACCGGGAGAGGUGAGUGGAAUUCCCAGUGUAGCGGUGAAAUGCGUAGAUAUUGGGAGGAACACCAGUGGCGAAGGCGGCUCACUGGACCGGAACUGACGCUGAGGCGCGAAAGCGUGGGGGAGCAAAACAGGAUUUNGAUACCCCUGGUA
rnacentral:rRNA from 1 species